CGACGCCAGUCGGCGCUGGCGUAGCUCGGCUCAGCCCGGCGGAGUCUGACUUCCGGAGGGCCAGCGGCGCGCUGGCUGGUUACCAAGGUUACCGCCGAGAGGCCGCGUCCUCAGCUGGUCCUAGACAUGCGUGGCGUCGGGGCUGUGGCACGGUCGGGUCCGGGGACACUUGUUUAACAAGACAUCUGCCCAUGUCCCUGGCCCAUCUCAUUGGCUGCAGCACAUCACAGUGGACCUUCUGCCUCCUCCCAGAUGCCCAGGGACAGUGAUCUGGAAGGAAGGGGCUUGAGGCUGUUUUCCUAGAACUCGACUUGAAUGCACCAAGGAAAGGCCAUUUGUGGGGACAUAGCAAGAAGGCAGCUGUCUGCAAGCCAGGAGGAGAACCCUCACCAGAAACCUCACAGAAAUCGGCCAACACCCUCAUCUCGGGCUUCCAGCUUCAGAACAACGAGAAAACAAAUUUCUGUUGUGUCCUGGUUCCCAUUUGUAAUUGGCACCCUAAUGAAACCGUUUUCUGUAGCCCUGGAAAUGGCUGAAAAUGAGGGGAGGGAAAUAAAGUGCUAUAAUUCAGAGCAUGGAGCACACCUUCCUGGUUCACCUGAGCUGGAUUCGGAGAGGUAAAAUGGCCAUUACCUCGUCUAAGCUGCCACUUACAGACACAGUACAGGAUGAGGCCCAGACCCACAGAGACAACGAUGAUGGCCACAGCUAAGAUGAUCCAGAAAUUAUUCCUCCACCAGCUCAUUGCAGUGGAAUCCUGAGAAGAAUGGAGAGAGAAGAAUGAGAGGGCAAAAGCAGAUGGCUACACCGAGAACUCACGCCAGCCCAACACACUUUGAUCUCGAGGCCUCUGGAAGGGAAGGUGCCUAAUGAACUACUGAAAGCCAGAGAUGCAAUGACAAAGGUACCAAGACUGGAGGUGAUCCAGGUCUUUCAUCCAAGAGCCCCAAGACGUAGCCUAAAUUCAUGCUACGGUAAUCCCAGCACUUUGGGAGGCCGAGGCGGGCGGAUCACCUGAGGUCAGGAGUUCGAGAGCAGCCUGGCCAACAUGGUGAAACUCCGUCUCUACUAAAAAUACAGAAAUUAGCCAGGUGUGGUGGCGGGUGCCUGUAAUCCCAGCUACUCAGGAGGCUGAGGCAGGAGAAUCGCUUGAACCCGGGAGGCGGUGGUUGCAGUGAGCCGAGAUCACGUCACUGCACUCCAGCCUGGGCGACAAGAGCGAAACUCCAUCUCAAAAUAAAAUAAAAAUAAAUAAAUUGACACAGUCAGUGCCUCGCUCCCACCCCCACCUCCAGCAUAGCACCAUGACAGUCUUCUCACAUAACAAGUCCCAAAACACACCAUCGGCAUCCAGAAAGUGAGAGUAACUCGUUACAGUUGAGACCUCUCACUCCCGGUCAUUAUCUCAUUUCAAUCCAAGAGGUAGACUUCUUCAUCGCCCCUGACAUACACAUGAGGAAAAGGCCCAGAGAGGUGAAGUGAUGCCUCAGGUCACUCAGCCAGUUACCAGUAGAGCAGAUCCUUCAAUGCAAGUUUUUCUCCAACCCUACACAGCAGUCGUACCAGGGCCCCAGGCUGCAAUCCCCUGGCCCAGUGCUGAUCGGUGGCUCCCAGGGACACGCCCUGAUGCCAGCGCUGGCAGAUGUCUGCUGUGAAGAGAGCAGGAAACUGUCCCUUGGAAAGCUGAGAUGCUUACCUGAACUGUGAAAGUAUCCAUAUGUGAGCAGCUAAGGAGACAGCAGUGGCUGGAGUGCUGCAGCUCAGGCACAGCUGGUGAGAGGCAUUCCUCACUCACAGGCCUUCACCCACUGCUAGAGACAGUGAGCCCCAUCCUGACCACUUCCCCUUUCUAGUCAGCCCACGGGGCAGAGACCCUGGCGUCAUCUCUAGGCAACCAUCCCUUUUCCAGGGAAGCUCAUGACCCACGGCUGUCCAGAAGCCAGAAUCUUCUCACUGCCCCGUGUCGCUCCCGCAAGGCCUACCAGAGGACCCUCAUGGUGUGGUAGGGGGUCCUGGCAGGGGCCAGGGGCCAGGGUGGAGACUUGGCAGUGGGGGUGGGUUUGGUGUCCCCACAGACGAGUUUGCCGUGAGCAUUCCUGGAUGUGGCAACCUCAGUCUCAAGAAGAGCGACAGGACGCCAGCUCCCAUGCAGAGACAGAUCCAGGUAAGAAACCAGCUCAUGUGUGACAAACUCACCAUCUCACCAUGAAGGUGACUCUUGAAAGCUCCUGUGCACCUUGGAACUGCUGAGACAUCUUCUGCUUGGAGGAGGCAAGGGACAGGCUUCCUGUUUCUAAAGGCGUGUGAGUGGCGACCUUGAGAAAUGUGGCCAGUGGAGCAUUUUGACUGAGUUGGGUCCCCUCGUGCAAUACUGUGAGACAGAACUCCCAGCGAGGCCCACGGCCUCUGACCAUGGGGGUUGGAGUGGGGAAACCAAUUAGCCAUUUUGUUGAAUUGGCUGGUUCUGACUCAAAUGAGCAGUCACAUUAGUAAAAAUAGGCAAACGGAUGUGCAUUGUAUUUGCCCAGAGCGAAUGAGUUGUUAUCCAUUUCAGUAAUAAUGAUAACCAGAUAUGUCUGAUAAAUAUCUGAUAAUGUCUGAUAUAUGUCUGGUAAAUUUAACAAACACCGGGCUCUGGCUGGGUGCGGUGGCUCACACCUGUAAUCCCAGCACUUUGGGAGGCCAAGGCGGGUGGAUCACCUGAAGUCAGUAGUUCGAGACCAGCCUGGCCAACAUGGUGAAACCCCAUCUCUACUAAAAAUACAAAAAUUAGCUGGGCAUUUUGGUGUGAACCGGUAGUCCCAGCUACUCAGGAGGCUGAGGCGGGAGAAUUGCUUGGACCCGCGAGGUGGAGGUUGCAGUGAGCCAAGAUCACACCAUUGCGCUCCAGCCUGGGCAACAGAGCAAGACUCUAUCUCAAACAAACAAAACAAAACAUCUGGCUCAGAAGAUUCCUGAUUUGCA
rnacentral:lncRNA from 1 species